UAGGGAAUCUUCGGCAAUGGACGGAAGUCUGACCGAGCAACGCCGCGUGAGUGAAGAAGGUUUUCGGAUCGUAAAGCUCUGUUGUAAGAGAAGAACGAGUGUGAGAGUGGAAAGUUCACACUGUGACGGUAUCUUACCAGAAAGGGACGGCUAACUACGUGCCAGCAGCCGCGGUAAUACGUAGGUCCCGAGCGUUGUCCGGAUUUAUUGGGCGUAAAGCGAGCGCAGGCGGUUAGAUAAGUCUGAAGUUAAAGGCUGUGGCUUAACCAUAGUACGCUUUGGAAACUGUUUAACUUGAGUGCAAGAGGGGAGAGUGGAAUUCCAUGUGUAGCGGUGAAAUGCGUAGAUAUAUGGAGGAACACCGGUGGCGAAAGCGGCUCUCUGGCUUGUAACUGACGCUGAGGCUCGAAAGCGUGGGGAGCAAACAGGAUUAGAUACCCUGGCAGUCCACGCCGUAAACGAUGAGUGCUAGGUGUUAGACCCUUUCCGGGGUUUAGUGCCGCAGCUAACGCAUUAAGCACUCCGCCUGGGGAGUACGACCGCAAGGUUG
rnacentral:rRNA from 1 species